rnacentral:rRNA from 1 species
UUGGGUGGCAAUACUGGAGAGGCAACACCCGGUCCCAUACCGAACCCGGCAGUUAAGCUCUCAGAGGCCCAUGAUACUGCCCCUUUCAGGGGUGGGAAAGUAGGUAGCUGCCCAAU